rnacentral:rRNA from 1 species
AGAACGAACGCUGGCGGCAUGCCUAACACAUGCAAGUCGAACGAGACCUUCGGGUCUAGUGGCGCACGGGUGCGUAACGCGUGGGAACCUGCCUUUAGGUCCGGAAUAACUCCUCGAAAGGGGCGCUAAUACCGGAUAAUGUCUUCGGACCAAAGAUUUAUCGCCUUUAGAUGGGCCCGCGUUGGAUUAGCUUGUUGGUGGGGUAAAGGCCUACCAAGGCGACGAUCCAUAGCUGGUCUUAGAGGAUGAUCAGCCACACUGGGACUGAGACACGGCCCAGACUCCUACGGGAGGCAGCAGUGGGGAAUAUUGGACAAUGGGCGAAAGCCUGAUCCAGCAAUGCCGCGUGAGUGAUGAAGGCCUAGGGUGUAAAGCUCUUUACCAGGAUGAUAAUGACUAGUACCGUGGAGAAGUAAGCGUACCGGCUAACUCCGU